AAUGGUGACAUUUUUACCAGUGAGAACUUCCAGGAGUACCAUAUCUCAUGCCACUGGGUCCUCCUUCCAGAAAGAGCAGAAAGUACUUCCUGAAAGCUGAUGACUGCAUCUAGCACAGGCAAUAUUUCUUUUGUCGACUGUAUGAAAGAUCAGGGUACAACAAUGGUUUUCACAUGAUUAUGCUGAACAGUUCUAUUACUGACUCUUAAUCGUGAGCCAUAGGCAUGGACUAAUGAACUUAUUCUUACUCUUUAGUCUGUGACUUCAGAGUCACCCCCAGUCUUCAAAAGCUGGGGUUUUAAAGCAUGAUGGAGGUUUUUGUCCCCAUGAAUGCCUGAUGUUUGCACUGGUCUGUGGCUACAUUCUCUCCACCAGCUCAUAGCCAAAUGCUGGACCACUCCUGUGAGUGUCUGUGCCAAAUCUUUAAAUCUCUCCUUUGCUGAAGAUCUAGUGGGCCAUUCCGGCUGACAUCUUUCUUACCUUCGGUUGAUGGGAUGCUACUAUGCUUUCCAAUUUUGCUCUUAAAAUGUGCUAGUAGACAAUGGGACAUUUCUCACCAUUACAGGAAUAUUCCUUUUAUUCUCCUCAAUGUCAGUAGCAUGUGGAAGGCAUGGGUGUAUGUCGAGCCUGAAAAAUCACAUUGCAGGAAUGCCAGGAUUAUGUUUUAAAGAGUUUUGAAGGAAAUGUAGAGUUGGAAGAUGUAGUUUUUAAUUUUAUAUCAUAUAAUUCUUAAUAGUACAUUUUGACAUGAGUGGAAAAUAAAUUUCCAUUUCAUUUUUGUGUAUUAUGGGGGUAAAAUAUCCAUUUGUGGGCAUGAAGCAUGUACUUGAAUAAAUGACUUGAAUAUAAGUACAAUGACUUGAAUAUAAGUCAUUGGAAGAGAGUAAUUUGAUUAGGUCCAGAGGCAAUGGUAUAACCAACAUUCAGCAAGUGGAUGUGGAGAACAGCGGAGGCAAAAAAAUGCCUAUAAAUAUGAGCAGGUUCUAACAGGCUUAUGGCGCUGUGAGUAAUAAUAACACUGAUGCCUUUUGCUCAAGGAAGCAAUAUGAAAUAUCCAGGCAUGAUGCAUAUGACAAUAAUAAACAUGAAUUGAUGUCUCCUAAACCUGGCAGGAGAAAGAAUCUUUACACACUGAUUGAAAAUUAAACCAUGAUCUAUUCCUUGUCUUCUCAUUAAUCUACCCAUUUAUAAAAAAAUUAUGUCUUACACAAGCCCACAAAUUUUGUAUAAACAUUUUAAAGAUAAAUUUGCUGCUCUCAGUGAAGAUCCUCCAAAAUUAUUGCCAUGAGCCUCUCAUUCCUAGUGAUAGUCCUAUCGAGAAGGAUACAUAUUUGUGAUACUCAAGAAGUAGGAUGCUCUCACUGCUGCUUAAGCCUAAGCCUGGAACUUAUUAUCCUCAACAAAAACAGUAGCAGCAGCAACCGCAACAGAAAACAGAGUAAGUGCUGGAGAUGUCUCUCUCGAUAAAACACUGUCACUUAAGCAUGAGGACUGGUGUUCUACCUAAAAUGCUUGGUGGUCCUGGUGGCUGUCUGUAGUUCCAGAAAGAGCAGGAGGCAGAUACAGGGAAUCCAGAGAACAAUAUGGUAAGCCAGCCCAGCUAAAUUGGUGAGCUCUGGUUUCAUGUGAGGGAUUUUGCUUUAAUAUAAAUGAGGUAACAAAUAACAGAAGAAGAUACCUGAUGUCAUCCUAUGCUUUUACGCACACGCACACACACACAUGCACCAUAGCACAUACACACCCAGACACAGACAGACAUACAUGCACCACAUACAUAAUCAGUGCAAAAAUAGAAGCAAGAAUAUGAAAUAUCCUAUUAGUUAGUAG
rnacentral:lncRNA from 1 species